rnacentral:tRNA from 1 species
GUGCCUGUGGCUCAGUGGGUAGGGUGCUGGCCCCAUAUACCAAAGGUGGCAGGUUCAAACCCUGCCUGGCCA